GGUGGCGGUUUUUCCCGCGGCGGCGACCGUUGCUCCAGGCGACUGUUCGAGGGCGGAGGUGUUUGUGCGCCGGCGGCUCCCUGGGACUCAGAGUCGGCCGUCUCCCUUUUACGGCGGCUCGUGUUGUGGUUUCGAGUGUGGUUUCCCUUGGGCUGUGCUCUUUGGCGUGCCUCUCCGCUCGGCCCGGGUUAACGGACGCGACUCUGACUCUCCUCAGCCGGCAACCGAGGCCGCGACGCCAGAAUGGCGGACGUCUGCGAUCUACGUCGAGGGCGGGAUUCGCGUCUGAAGUGCGCUCGGCCGCAUCCUUUCCUCGUCGGCCUUUCCAGCGCCUCGACCUGCUGUGGAAGUGAACGAGGACGCCUUGAAAGGGUCUAGACCCCGCUAAAGCGAGGGAGUCCGCCACCAUCCUGGGCCUUUGGCGGAGGCUCGAAGGCAGGCACGGAAAGCUUUUCAGCGACAAGCAGGAGAGGCCUCGGGUGCGCCUUGGAUGCACUUUGGCGAGUGUGGAAGUUGGAGACGGGCUAACUAAGCGGGUCAUCCUGUCUGGGAUGGCUUAGGGAGUAUAUUUGGCUUUCUCCGGUUGGCCCGAAGUGGGCCAGGGACAAAAAAAAAAUAGCAUUGUCUGCACAUAAUGUGUAGAACCGUACUGCCGUGCCAUCACCUUGAAGAGGCCAGCCCGAGGGGCAAAGUCGACAUGCUGAGAAUGGCAGAGCAGAAAGAUGGAAAGAACCAGAGUCACCGAAUCAACUAAUACUGCCUGUGGCCAUCUUGGGACUUUCCCUUAUGAUACCAUAAACGACCUUGUUUAUUUUUAUGAUGGAAAACUUCAAACAUACAAGAGUAAGCCAGAGCAAGAGAACGUGUAUACAUGCCAGAGAGGGACAGAGAGAGAGGGAGAGAGAAUCCCAAGCAGGAGCCGCACUACCAGCACAGAGCCCAACUCGGGGCUUGAACCCAUGAACCGCGAGAUCAGGACCUGAGCCAAGGUCGAGAGUUGGACCCUCAACUGACCGCACCACUGAGGCACCCUGGUGGUCUCCCUGGUUGUCCUUUGGUCUUGAGAACGUCAUCACUCAGUGCUGCUUUUCAUAUUCAGUUCCAAAUGCCAACCAACCAAGCCCGUUCGUGUUACAUUGCAGGAUCAGGCUGAAAAGGCCAUGUCUCUUCAACCGGCUCAGCUUGAGGGCUAUGAGGUACCGUCACGCGACCUGGGGAGACUACGGAAAGAAGUGAAGUAGCAAAGAGGGGAACACCGAGCUUGGCGUCAGGGAUGGGGCAAGAACAGGGAGCACUCUCCCAGCUCUCUGACUCCUCAUAUGCCUUCAAGGUGGGCGGUAACCCUAUUGCAAUAUGUCGAGGAUAUCUUGUUGGCGGCCCCCUCUCAUUUAGAAUGCCUGAGUGCCACCAGAGAACCCUUGAGUCUUCUGCAAAAACUGGGGUACCGAGUGUCAGCCAGAAAAGCGCAGAUCUGUCAUACUGCAGUGACCUAUUUAAGUUACAACCUUAAAAAGGGAAGUGCUAUCUUGGUGAACAAAGAAUUCGGGCUAUACUCGAUAUUCCUCAGCCUAAAACUCGCAAACAAGUUCGCGAGUUCUGAGGGCAGCAGGCUACUGCAGAGUAUGGAUACCUGGUUUUGCUGAACUGGCAGCCCCUUUGUACGCCACUCUCAAGGGGUCUCCGGAGUCCUUCACGUGGGGGGAGACUCAAACUAAAGCCUUCCAAGCCUUAUGAGAGGCUCUCAUGACCCCACCGGCCUCGGCCCUGCCAGAUCCCACCAAGCCAUUCCAUUUGUUUGUAGCCCAAAAGGGGAGGGUAGCCGAGGGAGUUCUGACUCAGCGCCUGGGACCUUGGCGCCGACCGGUGGCCUAUUUAUCCAUGUGGCUGGACCCAGUUGCUUCCGGGUGGCCCCCACGCAUUCGACAAAUUGCCACCACCGUGCUCUUAGUUGAAGAUGCAGACAAACUGACCUUGAGGCAGGCACUGUCUGUCACCAGGCCCCACGAAGUGGAGGCUUUACUGCGGGCUCCCCCAGAGCGACGGCUGUCAAAUGCUUGGAUUACCCAAUAUCAAGCGUUGCUACUUGACCAGACCCGAAUACGUUUUUGUGCCCCCGCAGCCUUAAACCCAGCCACUCUGCUGCCCAAAGGACAAGGUCCCCCUCUGCACUCCUGCCCAGAAACCUUGGCGACGAUCUCGUCCCUCCGCUCCACUCUUACGGACAUUCCCUUACAGGACCCUGAUAUCAGCAUGUUUUCAGGCGGCAGUAGUUUUGUGUUUCAAGGGCAAAGGCACGCCGGCGCUGCAGUGACGACGGACCGCGAGGUUUUAUGGCAACAGACCCUUCCCCCGGGAACUUCAGCCCAGCACGCAGAGCUCAUCACUCUAACAAAAGCCCUCCAACUCGGAAGAAACAAGCAGUUCAUAUUUAUACAGACAGCCGCUAUGCUUUUGCAACCGCGCGUGUAUACGGAUCCAUUUAUCAAGAGCGCGGUCUCCUCACGGCGGAAGGCAAGGCCAUCAAAACUAAAGCUGAAAUUUUAGAUCUUCUAGCAGCCAUCUGGGAACCUGCGAGGCGGGCAAUCAUUCACUGCCCGGGACAUCAGAAAGGCGACUCCCUGGAAGCAGUCGGAAACCGCCUGGCUGAUGCAGCAGCCCAAGAAGCUGACCCAACUAAAAGUAAAAGUGCCUUGGAGCUACCGAUCUUGACCGAGGGAGCCCAGUUACACUCCUAAAGAUUUGGAGUGGGUUUCAAGAAAAGGGGGAAGUGUGAUGCCGGGACAAAAGUGGUCUCAGGAUCCUGAAGGAGAUUUAGUCUGGGUCAAGAGGCACGAGCUUAAAACCCUGGAGCCGCUCUGGAAAGGACCACACGCCGUGAUCCUGACUACACCCACGGCCGUGAAGGUAGAUGGUGUCCGAAUCUGGAUUCAUCACUCUCAGGUUAAAAAAAAAAAAACUGUGUGAAGGCAGGAACACCCCAGACUGAUACGGAACCAGAUAAUGAACAGCAAUGGAAGGUCCGAAGGCACUCAGAGGAUCCUUUAAAGGCAAUGCUCUCCUGCUCAGCACAUCCUUCCUGUCCCCUUCUGAGUUCCACUCCACACCCGGUGUCGGCUACAAGCAACUUGCCUCCAGGAGCCCCACCAGCACCCUUGGGUUCUUCUCAACCCCAUCAUUGUCAAACGCGUAUUCAUUUCUCAAAUUCCCAUCAUUCUUACUGGGUCUAAGGCUUGUUGAGCUCAUGCAUCUAUGAAUCCUGUCUUGGUCACCACUUUAUCCACAAUUCCCACUCUGGGAGGGGUGCCUGGCUGGCUCAGCUGGUAGAGCAUGCAACUCUUGAUCUUGGGGUUUUAAAUUUGAGCCUCAAGUUGUGUGUGGAGAUUACUUAAAAAAAUUAAGUUUUGGGGUGCCUGGGUGGCUCAGUCAGUUAACUGUCCAACUUCGGCUCAGGUCAUGAUCUCACAGUUCAUGGG